GAGGUCACCCAUCCUAGUACUACUCUCGCAGUUAAGCGUGCUUGGGCGAGAGUAGUACUAGGAUGGGUGACCUCCUGGGAAGU
rnacentral:rRNA from 1 species